rnacentral:lncRNA from 1 species
GAGCAUUUCAGGGAGCAGGGAAGAGAAGCAUUGCUAGGGUUGCUAUCUCAUUACCUCCCACAAGCUCUGGGCAGUUCAGUUCCUGUCUGAAGAUCCCCAGGGCCAGGGCCAGGGCCAGGGCCAGGGCCAGGUUAGGGCCUCCUUGGGGAGGGACAUCUUACCUGUGUUGUCAUCUGCUUUAGAUCAGGGAUCUUAGGGGCUGAGUUCUGCUGGGCUAUAUACCAAGCUUGCCACUCAGGGCCAGAUGUGAGUGCUGGAGGAAAGGCGGAGUGCCAGAGAGGAGCCUGGAGCCCCACCCAGUCAGCUGUAAGAUACAAAGUCAUAGGAUUCCCCACGAAGGGAAGAGGCUGUUGAAUAUCGAGGAAACCGUGUCUGGCGGUGGCUCAGGUUCACACAGAAGGAAUGGUGGUGAGGCCAGAGUCAAGCAUCCGCUCAUACGGGGCAGGCUCUGCUCAGAGCGUUCUCUGUUCUCUGUAAGCUUCAGCAGACAUAGGACU